ACGCUUACGCAUUAUCGUGGAGAUGGAUAUUGUCCGAAACUUCGUUCCAUCUCUUUCGUUGUACCACAAUUCUGACCGCUAAGGCACGUCCAUUAGUAGACAUCGAUGAAUGACACCAUGUCCAGCAUAGACAAGAGGUCUGUGAGAGAGGUUUACCAUUAUGUAUGGGUUUAGCAUUUUGUAGAUCUAUUAUCUAUGAUGUCGAUCUUAUCAUGUACAAGCGACGCCAUGUCGCCAAUAAUAAGAUUUCGCAAUUUUACAUGCUUUCGGUGCUUGUUUUCAUUGUUGUUUUUCGUGUUUCAAUUGUUUAGUGUAUUAAUAGUGUGGUUUAGUUUUUCUUCUCCAUAUUUUCAGAUUGACGAUAAAUAUGAGUGGAAAACGUUCGUUGUGUUGCGACUGAAAAAGUAUCUUUUCACUAUGGAAAAUGUUGUAGUUAAUUAAAAGCAUUGGUUGUAUGAGUCCUCAUUCUCUUGAGAAAGUAGCUGUACCUAUGACACUAAAGAAAGUAUGAAUUAAGAGCAAAGGCAGUGUGCUGUUGCUAAGGAUUUAUAACAGUGAACUGAUUGUUCAACAAAUGAGAGGGAAUUACAGUUAAUUUUGAUGCUUCUGACACAACUGUUGCUUUUGACGUCUUAAUUUUGUACUUGCAAGGGGGGGCAAAAGGAAGUUAAAACCACUGGAACAACAUUACCAGCAAUGGUAUCACUUCUGGAUUUGGCUUGCUCAUUUCACUUGUAGACUUUAGAACACUACUUUCUACAGUUACUUAAGGUGAGAAUUCAUGACAUAAUUAAUAUUAAUUGCUCUUUAUUAAUAUGUAAUGGCAUUUCUUUUAAAAAUACUCUGUUUACAGUAUAAAUUGACGUUAUGACGUGUAUUAUUUCUUUAAAAUAUCUAUUGUUCACAGUAUCUAUGUAAUUUCGUUUAACCUUUAUCUGUUGUCUACACCACGAAUUGACGUCUAUGAUUUCACAUUUAUCUAUCAAAUAUGAUCCGUCAUUAUGUAAACUUGACGCUUGUCGUCAUUUUAUAAUUUAGAUGUUUUAUUUGCGUUUUGAUCGUCUAACAAAUGAGAAGGAAUUAAAGUUCAUUUUGGUUGUACUAAAACAACCAAUGUCUGGAUGGGUGUGGUCUUUCAUGGAUCAUAUUGUUGAUUUGCACUUUUCUUCUUCGCCUUGCAACAUUAUGCAGUUACUUUUCAACCGAUGAGCGAGAUCAACUGAAGUUUAUUUGAAUUCCACUGGAAAUAACAAAUUUUCUGCAUUGGUAUUUCUCUUGGAUUUAGUUUGCUUUUCACACCA